rnacentral:rRNA from 1 species
AGUGAACGCUGGCGGUAGGCCUAACACAUGCGAGUCGAACGGCAGCACAGUAAGAGCUUGCUCUUACGGGUGGCGAGUGGCGGACGGGUGAGGAAUACAUCGGAAUCUACUUUUUCGUGGGGGAUCACGUAGGGAAACUUACGCUAAUACCGCAUACGACCUACGGGUGAAAGCAGUGGAUCUUCGGACCUUGCGCGAUUGAAUGAGCCGAUGUCGGAUUAGCUAGUUGGCGGGGUAAAGGCCCACCAAGGCGACGAUACGUAGCUGGUCUGAGAGGAUGAUCAGCCACACUGGAACUGAGACACGGUCCAGACUCCUACGGGAGGCAGCAGUGGGGAAUAUUGGACAAUGGGCGCGAGCCUGAUCCAGCCAUACCGCGUGGGGGAAGAAGGCCUUCGGGUUGUAAAGCCCUUUUGUUGGGAAAGAAAAGCAGCAGGUUAAUACCCCGCUGUUCUGACGGUACCCAAAUAAUAAGCACCGGCUAACUUCGUG